UCGAGCGGUGUCAUUGGGUUAUCGACGACUAUCAAAGUUUCAAGUGGCUUAACAACACCGUGCGAGCGUUUAGUAAUCGGGAAGGAUGCGCUGCUUCAACACGACCGUCGCUCUGGUGCUGAUCCUUUUCGUGAGCCUCGGUUGGGGUUGGUCCUUCACGAACGUGGCGAUGACCAUCGACGAGUUGAUGCGACCGCGAAACGAGGACUCGCGAGUUUUGAAUUUCAACGAGAGCAACACCGUCCCAGCCAACAAGGACGCGGACGUCACGAUGCUUGGCAGAAUAAUAGUGGUUCCACGAAGGAAAAACGGUCACUGUAAACCGGGCGAACAGGUCGAUCGGCGUGGCAAGUGCAGGACGGUGUGGUGAGCGAGUUCGCCGGAUAAAUAAGGGGGCAAGAAUCUCCGUAGAUAGUCGACAACGUAGCCACUCGUCAUCAAGGGGACACUUCCGAGAGGGAAACGGGAAAGAGAAGACCAUACCAAACUCCAGCAUAAUUCGAGAUGCGUGCACCGGAGACCUAUAUAGGGGAUAUCGGACUCUGCAAGGAAAAAAAUGAUUAAUCUCAUCAAAUUGUAAUUGCUCUCGGCGUCAAUCAUACUUUUUGUUAUUCAGACGAGAAAGCAGUAACACCGAUACACAUAUAAUGUUAUUGUAGUUAAGACCAUGGGAUAAUAUGUAGUACUAUAGUAAGGUUUCCUACACAAAAAUACUUUUUCCGAUUAUAAUUAUUUCGCGAUGCAAUUACAGCCACAAGUGGCAGAAAAUACUUCUCAGACCGAUCGAGAUACUGAGAGGUCGCAUAUCCGAGUCGCGAUGAGAAAAAUCCGCAAUCUCUGGUUUACUCGUUUAAUCAGCAAACGGAUAUUGAUUUUACAUCGAGCGUAUAUAAUUAGCGAUAUGAAUUGCAGGAGUAUUAAGUGCACGCUCGAUAUUAGAAUAAAAGGAGACUAAUGGGAAAACAAUUAGUCUACGCAACAAGUUGAAUCGAUCGAAUACGUCGAUCAUGGCUGCGUAAAUGAAUAAAUGCGCACGAUACCGGCAUAAUUAUCAUAUUAUUAGACUCACUCGGAGGCAUAAUGAUAGAAACAUGUUUCCCAAUAAAUUUCGUAACGCGUUCGGUAACUAGAUAGAGGAAUUUGUUUUGCAACGGCUCUCGAAAGAUAUGCCGUUCAGUUAGAUGCGCUUCGAAAUCCAUCGAAAGAAAGCUGUUCUCGUCAAUUUGCUUCCGAGUAUGCGCGUAUAAGGUGUGUACAGUGUCAAGAAUGGUAGUUAUUACGCGCUAAGAUAUAUACGCCGGUUUAUGUAUACACGAUAAGACACACAUUGCACGUAAACUUAAUGGUUUAGAUAAAAUCGCAAUAAGUAAGGUAUAUAACUGACAUAUAUAUAUAUAUAUAUAUAUAUAUAUUAACUGACACAUAUAUAUAUAUAUAUAUAUAUUCAUAUAUGUACGUGUAAAACUGUCACAGGUCACUAUAAAAUAGGUGAAAUGCAUAUCACAUACGUAUAGAGUAUGCUUUCGUUACAUUUUUCCUUAUCGCCGACAAUAUUCGCUAGCGUUAUUUCGCGAGGCGGAAUUUAUUCGUCGCACAUACAUGCAGGCACGUGUAAGCAAAGUUUAAUCGCGCUUCUCGAUAGUUUAAUCGCGCUAGUAUUUCACGGAAGUAUUUUGACGUAAUUAUCAAGAAAAGGCUCGUGCGUAAGCAAUCAGGAUAUGAGUAUCAACCGCAAAUUAAGGGUGACCAACAGGAGGAGGCAGGAAACCACAUUGAAAUGAGAGCCUAACUCAUAUAUAAACAUAUGUGCCACAAUCGUCAAAGGAGCCAGUCGUUUAUUAGCGCGUCGAAUAACACGAAAGCGCUUGCAAGGAGAAGCGAAGAUAUUUCAUACGAUUUCACAUUCGCCACAUUUAAAUUAAUUUAAAACCCAAGACUACUCGAGAGAGAGAAAGAGAGAGAGAGAGAGAACAUCGUUCUUAAUAAUGGCACCGACGCGUCUGUUACUGCUGAUUCUCGUGUCGCUGAUGUUGGUAUUCGCGAGUGAGGGGAGACCGCUGACUUUUCCACGGAGAAACCCGUCGCAGACGAAGUGCCCACCAGGCUAUAGGCACACUCGUACCGGAGACUGCAGAGAAGUUCUGACGUAUUGAAAAGGCGAGAAUGGGGUACAAAGGCCACGGGACGUACUCAAAGAUGCCGGAUUAACUACAAGCGAUAUCGGAUGUAACAAAGUGAUUAUUUUCUUUAUUAAUUAUAAUGUACCAGUUACAAAUAAACAGUGUAUAAUCUUGAGUAA